UACGUAGGGGGCUAGCGUUGUCCGGAAUCAUUGGGCGUAAAGAGCGUGUAGGCGGCCUGAAAGGUCAGCUGUGAAAACUCGAGGCUCAACCUCGAGACGUCGGUUGAAACCAUCUGGCUAGAGCCCGGAAGAGGAGUGUGGAAUUCCCGGUGUAGCGGUGAAAUGCGCAGAUAUCGGGAAGAACACCCGUGGCGAAGGCGGCACUCUGGGACGGUACUGACGCUGAGACGCGAAAGCGUGGGGAGCGAACAGG
rnacentral:rRNA from 1 species